AAGCAUACAUGUAUAUUGCUUUCUCUUACACUCAUUAAUGAAAAAAGUUCAGGGAAAAGUUCUUUUCUUUUUUCUUAAUUUGGAUCAUGGAGUGGUCUGAGGAGGAUUGUGUCAAUCUAUUCACUGAAAAUUUUGAAAGAUACAGUAAAGAGAACAUUAAUUUGCAAUGGCUCAUCAAGAACAUUUGCACUGGGUUGUAAGCGAAUUCGGAAGUGCAGCCUCACUUAUUCUUCCACCUGCAAGACCAGAAAAGAAAAGGCGUAGAUCACAGCCUCCUAGGAAAAGGAACCGUAGAGAACACGAUUCCACUCCAGGAGAAUAUGCUCGAAUCAGUACUUCUUUCACCAGUUGGAAAACAUAUUGAUCUCUGACUACUGCUAAAUCCUUGUCUGCUGGCUUGGCUUAUCAAGAACUUCCUCUGUUGGUUUUACUGAGUCUACCCGAAGAGUAUUCAUAUUCUCACAACUCUCACAUAGCUCCAAUUAGAGAUUCAGUGCAGUCAUUCAGUAGAAAGAAUGCAUAUAAUGGAUGUUCUAGAAUGUAACCAAAAUUAUUGAAAAAACACUAGGUUUAAACGUGCGGCUAAGUGAGAAAAUGCAGCCUACUUUCCCAUGCAUAUGAAUGUUUGACUGAACAAUAAAGAAACAUGUAGCAUUUUAAUUUCCAUUUACUAAAAUUUUUAA